AACGAACGCUGGCGGCAUGCCUAACACAUGCAAGUCGAACGAGACCUUCGGGUCUAGUUGCGCACGGGUGCGUAACGCGUGGGAACCUGCCCUUAGGUUCGGAAUAACUCCCCGAAAGGGGUGCUAAUACCGGAUAAUGUCUUCGGACCAAAGAUUUAUCGCCUUUGGGUGGGCCCGCGUUGGAUUCGCUAGUUGGUAGGGUAAAAGCCUGCCAUGGCGACGAUCCAUAGCUGGUCUGUGAGGAUGAUACACCAGGCUGGGGAUGAGACACGGCCCAGUAUCCUAGGGGGGGGAGGAGUAGGGUAUACUAGGCGAGGGGGGAAAAGCCGGUCCCGCCACGCCGGGGGAGAGGUGAAGGGCUUUGGGUUGUAAAGCUGUUUUACCCGGGGUGAUAAUGACGGUAACGGGUAAAUAAGCUCCGGCUAACUCCGUG
rnacentral:rRNA from 1 species